UACAGAGGUCUCAAGCGUUGUUCGGAUUCAUUGGGCGUAAAGGGUGCGUAGGCGGCGCGGUAAGUCGGGUGUGAAAUCUCGGAGCUUAACUCCGAAACUGCAUUCGAUACUGCCGUGCUUGAGGACUGGAGAGGAGACUGGAAUUUACGGUGUAGCGGUGAAAUGCGUAGAUAUCAGGAGGAAUACCGGUGGCGAAAGCGACUCUCUGGACGGCAACUGACGCUGAGGAGCGAAAGCGUGGGGAGCGAACAGG
rnacentral:rRNA from 1 species